UACAGAGGGGGCAAGCGUUAUUCGGAAUUAUUGGGCGUAAAGGGCGCGUAGGCGGCAAGGCAAGUGGAAGGUGAAAUCCCUCGGCUCAACUGAGGAACUGCCUUCCAAACUGCCCUGCUUGAGUCCGGGAGAGGUGAGUGGAAUUCCCAGUGUAGCGGUGAAAUGCGUAGAUAUUGGGAGGAACACCAGUGGCGAAGGCGGCUCACUGGACCGGAACUGACGCUGAUGCGCGAAAGCGUGGGGAGCAAACGGG
rnacentral:rRNA from 1 species